CCUACGGGAGGCAGCAGUGGGGAAUAUUGGGCAAUGGGCGCAAGCCUGACCCAGCCACGCCGCGUGAGUGAUGAAGGCCUUCGGGUCGUAAAGCUCUGUGGGGAGGGACGAAUCAGCCUCGGGAACAAUACCCCGGGGCCCUGACGGUACCUCCUUAGCAAGCACCGGCUAACUCCGUGCCAGCAGCCGCGGUAAUACGGAGGGUGCAAACGUUGCUCGGAAUUAUUGGGCGUAAAGCGCACGUAGGCGGCUUGUUGUGUCCGGUGUGAAAUCCCUCGGCUUAACCGGGGAAGUGCGUCUGGAACUGCUCGGCUCGAGUACGGGAGAGGGAGGCGGAAUUCCCAGUGUAGAGGUGAAAUUCGUAGAUAUUGGGAGGAACACCCGUGGCGAAGGCGGCUCUCUGGACCACAACUGACGCUGAGGCGCGAAAGCUAGGGGAGCAAACAGGAUUAGAUACCCUGGUAGUCCACGCGGUAAACGAUGGGCACUAGGUGUGGGGGGUAUCCACUCCUCCCGUGCCGCAGCUAACGCAUUAAGUGCCCCGCCUGGGGAGUACGGCCGCAAGGUUAAAACUUAAAGGAAUUGACGG
rnacentral:rRNA from 1 species